UUUUUUGUAAAGUAUUUCGUCUCUCUUAAAAACGACCUAAAUGAUAAGUAUUUAUAGUCUCCAAUGCUCUAUGGUGUCUAGGGUUCCGUAAUUGAGGCUGAGAAAAUGAUUUGGGCUUCGGAAAUGGGCCUUCGAGUUCAGAGUUGGCUGGCCGCGGUCGGGAUGUGCGUGACCGCGGGGAAUCGGUGCUUGGCCACGGUCGGGAAGUCUCUGACCGUGGUGGAAUGGCUGUUGGCCGCGGGUGGAAAUGCUUCC
rnacentral:lncRNA from 1 species